AACAAUAUAAUGAACAAACCAAAACUUGUUUUCAAUCACAAAUUUAUUCACAUAUUUACACAUUUUAUAAAUCAUUUUCAAGACUUAAAAUGAAAAUUAAUUGAAACGAGACUCAAACACACAAAAUGUACCAAACCAACAGCAGAAAAAAAAAAGUGUUUAAAUGUUACCGAAACGGCGAUGUGGUCGAAACUAGUUCAAUCUUCUCGGUAUUUUUCGCAGCACUCAAACCAAGUUAUCGUUAAUAAAUUCAGAAAUGCUAAUGUCGUCUAAAACUCGUUGAGUCGUUCGUGCCGUAUUAUGCAGGCACGGUCAUUAGUUGAAACACGACUUUGAGUUGUACCGUUGUUGGCGGCGAACUCGAAGACGUAGGGGGAACAGAAAUGCGGUUGUGGUCGUCUGUUGAAAAACAAGCAAAACCUGUGCAUCGCGGUUUGUUUUAUUCUAAAUCUGCAACACGUUGAAGCAAAAUUUGUUCCAAAUUACUUAUGCGCAAACCCAACAUCUCCAAUGGAAACGACAAUCGUAACGCAGAAGUUCUUCAUUUCGGCAAAAACCGUAAACCCUUUUGUAUGCAGAGAUACUAAUCCUUCAUCUUCACAAGCUUGGCGGUAAUAGUAUUUCUUAUAAGCAUCAAUCAUGCUUGCAUUAAAGAUGAUUCUUGUUUUGUUGGAAUAGGCCAAAAAUGGCGAUAACUCAACAACUUUUCCUAUAAUUAGCGGUGUCGGUGACUCUAAUCCAGUAGAUGCAAUUUUCUCAGGAAGGUCUUUAAGUUCUGCAAACACCGUGCGCUGCUAAAGUGUGGUCGGUGGUUAUUGACGGAUUUGGGGUUUAGGGUUGAUGAAGGGUGUGGCGGCUAGGGUUUCGUCGUGAAGAAGAGGAAAGGGUUUUCUUUUUAUAUUUUCUUUUUUCUGUAACGUUUUCAGAGAGAGAUCCUAAUGAGAGAGUGAGGAUUAGGUCUGCCGUUUAGGCAACAGUUGGAU
rnacentral:lncRNA from 1 species